AAAUCUGAUAAUUACCUUCACAGCUAUUAGCCAGCAAUUUCCAUGAACUUAUAAUGGCCGUAUUCUCUGAAAUUGGUAAACUUCGAUAAAAUGCAUAUUUCACUAAAAAAAAGAGCAGAGCAGUAGGAAAUAGCAUUCUGCUAUUGCUUAGGAAGAGUGCAUCGCGUUGAAAAAAUGUGUUUCAGUUAUUUAGAUGCUUCUUACAGUCUUAUUACAAAGCACCGCGAAAGAGCAGUAAAAUGGAAAUUCAUGCCACCUUCCGUACCAAAGUCAUUUGUGGGGAUAUUGCCAGCAUCAAAACUUGGGGUUCUGAACCAAACUCUAACCACUGUCCCAUGAAUACUCAAGAUAAGCACGGAUGCUCAACUGAAGCGCAAAAAGAACACUAUUAUCAUUAUUUCUAUGGAGCUGUUCUCGUGAUUGU